UUUAACAAAAUGUCUCUUGACUAAAUUCCUUUAGUCAUUUUCUACUAAGCCUUCAACUUGAAAUUACUUAAAAAUUUUGUAGUUAAAAAUCUCAGAGAUCGGAUUUUCCCAGGCAAAUAUGCAGCGUUUUAUAACAUUUAUUGUGGGAGGAAUUGUUGGUUUUCUUAUUGCCAAGAAUACUCGUUAAGCAAAAUGGCUUAUAUAAUUAUUUUUGGCUUGGGCGUAGUGUUUGGCAUGUUCAUAUGCCGACGCUGCGAUCCUUGAUAACGCAGGACCCUUGGAUAUAGCGAACGAACAAAUCAUUCCAUAGAAGUUAAAUGAAAAUAUAUAAUAUAAACCAAAUUAUGUGCACAUGCCGACGUUGCCAGCUUCAAUAGCACAGAAUCCUUCAAUAUAAAGAACAUACAAUAGCCUUACGGGAAAUCCAGAUCUAUAGUAUAAAUUUUUGAUCCGAGAAUAAAUCUAUAAACUACAAA